rnacentral:sRNA from 2 species
CCAUCAGAGGGCUAUACUGCGUAGGUCAGGCAUGGCGGGGGAAUGGUGGGGUGAAAUGCCACCCAUAGAUGUGAUAAAAUGCCUCUCAUGAAAGGCGGCAUUCACUUGGCAUCAUGAUUUAUUACAAUUUUGCUUGUUUUGUCCUUCCCCAAUGCACCAAAGAAUUGCAUGCAUGAGGUUUAAACUACAUCGAACAACAGCCAUUAUGAAGAAGAGCGCCCAACUUUCUAAAAAGGGUAAAAACACGGUCAUUAAUAUUUGGAAUUUUUGGGAUUCGUACUCAUAAAGACAAAGGAAAACAAAAAGGAAAGGGAUUUGAAGGGGAGGGUGUUGUUUGUAAGAAAGGCCCAUCUAAUUAAUAGAAAAAGAGAAAAUAAAUCGUAAAGCCACUUUUCCUUUUUAACUAGGGAGGACACGAAAAAACAUAAAUGCCAAGGGAAAUGGGAGACAGGGAAUCCAGGGAAUGCAAAGGAGGGGAUGGCAGGAAGAAUGAAACCAACCAAGGUUUGCAAAGGGCCCAUGUCAAGUCGCCAUAUUUCGCCCGCUUUUUCACAUGUAAUGAGGAAAGGGAGAAAGUAAAACGCCUCCUAUUUGCUCAUCACCCAGAUGGCCAUGUAUUUGAUUAUCCCCUCUUUUUGUCGCUCUGGCAUUUUUUGUCUGAGGGAGUGUUGGGGCCUAGCCAAUUUAUUUCUUGGUGGCCUUCUGCGCGGCCUUGGUGACCUUGCCAGCAGUCUUGUCAGACUUGAUGACGGACUUGAUGACACCGACAGCGACGGUUUGUCUCAUGUCACGGACAGCGAAACGUCCAAGAGGGGGAUAGUCAGUGAAGGGCUCCACGCACAUGGGCUUGGAGGGAACCAUCUUGACGAUAGCAGCAUCACCAGACUUGAUGAACUUGGGGUUGUUCUCAACAGACUUUCCGGUACGGCGGUCGAUCUUCUCAAUAAGCUCAGAGAACUUGCAAGCAAUGUGGGCAGUGUGGCAGUCGAGGACUGGGGCAUAACCAGCGCCAACCUGGCCGGGGUGGUUAAGGACGAUGACCUGGGCAUUGAAGGAUUCGCAGCCCUUAGGGGGAUCAUUUUUGGAGUCGCCAGCAACGUUGCCACGGCGGACUUCCUUGACUGAAACGUUCUUGACGUUGAAGCCGACGUUGUCGCCAGGGUAACCAGCCUGGAGUUGUUGGUGGUGCAUUUCGACGGACUUGACUUCAGUGGUGACGUUGGAGGGAGCGAAAGUCACGACCAUACCGGGCUUGAUGACACCAGUCUCAACACGUCCGACGGGAACAGUGCCAAUACCAGAGAUUUUGUACACAUCCUGGAGGGGAAGACGGAGGGGCUUAUCGGUAGGACGGGUUGGGGGUUCAAUGGCGUCAAUGGCAUCGAGAAGGGUUUUACCAGAAGACUUGCCAGAGGCAGUCUCCUUGUUCCAGCCCUUGUACCAUGUGCAGUUGGGGGAGGGUUCAAUCAUGUUGUCACCCUCGAAACCAGAGAUUGGCACGAAGGGAACAGCCUUGGGGUUAUAUCCGACCUUCUUGAUGAAGUUGGAAACCUCCUUGAUGAUUUCGUUGAAACGGGACUCGGACCACUUGGUGGUGUCCAUCUUGUUGAUGGCAACGAUGAGUUGCCUCACACCAAGGGUGAAAGCAAGCAGAGCGUGCUCACGAGUCUGGCCAUCCUUGGAGAUACCAGCCUCGAACUCACCAGUACCGGCAGCAAUGAUGAGGAUAGCGCAGUCAGCCUGGGAGGUACCAGUGAUCAUGUUCUUGAUGAAGUCACGAUGGCCGGGAGCAUCAAUGACAGUGACACUGUACUUCGGAGUCUCGAAUUUCCAGAGGGCAAUAUCGAUGGUGAUACCACGCUCACGCUCAGACUUCAGUUUGUCAAGGACCCACGCAUAUUUGAAGGAUUUCUUGCCCAACUCUUCGGCUUCCUUUUCGAACUUCUCAAUGGUACGGCUGUCAAUACCACCGCAUUUGUAGAUCAAAUGACCAGUGGUGGUAGAUUUGCCCGAAUCGACGUGGCCGAUGACGACGAGGUUAAUGUGAGUCUUGUCUUCCUUACCCAUGGUGGCGGGAUUUAAAUGUGAAAAUUGGGAGAGUUUGGGAUGGAAAAAGAUUCGAUAUCUUGUAGUUCUUUGGAAGAGACUAGAAGAGACCAGGAGAACGCUCAGAUACUACGGCCAAGAAUGCGUAGAGGUGCUGGAAAGGUCAGUUAGAAAAUAUGGAAAAGCUAUGGAGAGGUAGGAUGUUGGAACGGGGAGAGGAGGCGGGGCAUGAGGGUUGAGAGGAUACGUACUGAAGCAGACGAGCAGAGGAAGAGGGAAAGGGAAAAAAUUUUUGUGCGAAGAGAGGGGUUUUUGUAUGCUUUCUGGGCGGGGGAAAGUGCAGGAGGCGAGCCUACUAGGCCAUUUUUGUACAUCACGUGCUUACUCGCUGUAUUUUUGGCGGGGCUCAUUCAGGGCCGCUACAGUUACCACUUUUUGAUAAGUGUCGUUGGCUUUGGAAAUAGGGACCAAAAGAUAACUGAACUGCCUUUAUUGCUGGCUAUUAGGGAGACACUGACUUAAAUAUCAAUUAUAGUAGAGCAAUUUUCCAUACCUGCCUUCAGACAUGAAAUCAGCAAAUCUCUUCACUCGAAUUAUUCAGUCCCAGAUGUUCAUGUUACAAUGCUACAGCUGUUCUGUAUUAUGGCCAAAUUUGGCAUAUCUUGAAUUUUUGAUUCGGGGAGUAUCGAUGUAAUAGCAGUACAUGUAUUUUGUUUUUCAAAAGGUCGAAAGAACCGGAGAGAAACUUGUUUGAAAGCUAGUUGUAUCAGCCUCUCCGUAAAUUAGGCUACCUUGAGCCACAACGACGACCAAACCAGGAGUAAAGUUAGGGUAGUUCGAGAAAGUUCACGGGGUGACUCAUUUCCAUUGACAGAGAAGAUGAGUUGUCUUUGCCCUAGUUUUCUCUCCAUCGAGCCCCGCAGGUUGUGCACUUGAAGAAUGUAGUCAUUGGUUCGUCGGCGCUUCGAAUCUGCAAUUGGUAAAAAUAUGCACGGUCGCCAUCACAGCCUUCCGCGGGGCAUUGCGUCCCUUGGCUAUCGGCGUUCUUCCACUCAUCUUUCCCCCCCAACACAUCAGAAACCUCCUUCCGCUUCAUCUCCGUCCUCUCGUAGUACGUUCGGUCGAGGAUAUAUUGGUAGGGACAAGUGCGGCAUUCGAAUCUGUUGACACCUAGUGGGUAGCGAGGGCUGGGAUCUGCCCGGGAGAUGGUAAGGGCAUUGCUACAGUUUGGACAAACUAAGAACACAUUUUGCGAAUCAAAUGGUGGCCUACUUAAACGAGAAACUUUGCAGGACAUUCAAAGUAUUGGGGUGAAGCUUUGAGGAUACUCACAUGUCAAAGGCAUUUUUGGCUGGAAUUCUCAGAUGAUUGAAUUGAUUGAAUCAAUGACUAUCCAGAGAUAUAGUAUAUUAUAGGUAGCGAUAUCAUUGUCACACCGAGGGAUUUCCAAAAAUGGAUACAGUGUGUGAGCUCAUUGCAUCCCGCCGUUGCUCUCCAGAUGUGCUGCCGUGGGUCUCGUCCACUAUGCCUUAUUGGCCGAUCUGCGAGCAAAACAUUCCCGCGCGACUAAUUUGUUCUAUUAAAUCCCUUGAAUUAAGCGCCGCACUUCUGCGUGGCUAGCCGGAAUAUAUUUGUUCCUAUAUUUUUACAGAUCCAGAGGCUUGGCUGAUACAAACACUCAACACGACCACUAACAACCCUAAUAGCAAGAAUAAGGACUGCGACUAUACCGAGCCUCUCCUCCAUCGCGGCUUUACCUGGCAGGUCAAAAUACUUUCGUUUUUGUUGACUACGACAACGGCGAAGCAUCAUAGCUUAGCGCUUGGUUGGUCGUCCCGCCCCCGCAUCAUCAACUCCAGGCUUCCAGCUUCACCGUUGAGUGUUGAUUUGCUUAUUUAUUCCGUGACAAUUCCGCAUGAGUAAAUUUUGACGCACUCCUACUUCCGUAUUCAUAGGUCUCUCAAAAUUAGACCAAACUUCGAAACCCCAAAGCAUACCCCGCGCUCGGGUUGCAAUUGCCCUCUUUUACGCAAACGGGAAGCAAUAGACCCAACACAAUGCGCCCGGAGGAUGACAAGAGAAUAGCGGACGAUGAGGGAGCCAGUCCUGCUGAGAGAGUUGCCGCAGCCUGCCGGGAAGAUAACACGGAUGCCCUAGAAGAAGUCCUUACAGAGAUGGAGAGUGGGAAGAAAACAAAUGAGGAAAUUGCUGCGUUUUUCAACAGCGUUACGGAUCCCUUGGGCAAUCAUGCGCUUCAUAUCUGUGCUAUGCAUGGAAGCUACCACGCAGCCGAUUUCCUCUUCGAUAUAGAAUUUUUCGAAUGCGACCCAAGAACUCGACUCGACAAAGAAACCCCCCUUCACCUCGUCGCGCGCUACGCAAACGACACGAGCCGUUACAAUUCUGUCACAGAUGCCAUCACAAUGGUUAAAAUGAUGUGCGAAGCCGGCUGCGACCCGCGGGUAACGAAUAAAAAUGGCGAGACGCCUUCCCGAUUGCCGGAUAUGAUUCCAGAGGAGUUGCGAAGGGAACUGAGGCAGGCGGAAUAUCUACUAAAUGAGGGGUUGGGGUUACAAGAUGAUCCUGAUAGCGAUGGCGAUGGUGCGCGGGCGGGGAAUAGCGCGAGUGAUUCUGAGUGAGGAUAGAUAGUGCUUGGGUGGUGUGAGAGAAUGUCCCGUUUACGAGUCUUCUUCUUGUUGUUUUUCUUCCUCGGCUAUAUUAGAUCAAUUCAACGUUUCUGAUUAAAUUCCAUUCGCGUAUGCGAAAAGCUAAAAGAGAAGAAAAAGGCGAAAAACAGAACGAAAGAAAGCUGGAAGAAGAAAUAAGGGGGGAAAACUGCCUUUGGGUACCACAUGCAUGAUUUGCUGUUGUUUAGCGUCUGUUUCCUUGUUGUGUCCGAUUUUUUUUUUUGUUUCUUGACUUUUUUAUUGCAGUAUCCGUCCUUCCAUUUACCCUCGAGUUAUUUGUUAUCCACCUCUUCUUACCUAUCUAUCCAGGUAUUUAGCCCAUGCAUUCCCCACCCGGGGCCCUUCUCCAUUUUUGGUUCCCAUUCUUAUACUUACUUGCUCCCUCUUCCCCCCUUGCACUGCGCAAAGAGCAAGUUGUCCAGCUACAUAUAUAGAUAUAUACCCACAUGUAUAAGCAAGAGAGUAAAAGCCCUCGUGGCACAGGCACGGAUGCAUAUGCGCAUUUUCCCUUUUUCAUCCGUAUAUCUUCGCUGUUGUCUGGGGGUGUCCUAUUGUAUCUUCUCUUAUCUCUUCCAAUAAGAGGUUGUUCUUCCAUGCCCAAGGACAUUGGGGCAAUAUCGAUGGAUAUAUAUGGCUUCCCUUUAUAUGGACAAAAAAGCGCUUAGGUCUAGCUAGCCCUGGAGGCCUGGUUCCUUUCACUGAUUGUUAUUUGCUUCAUUCAAAGGGCAAUGGUCUAGUAGAGAGCGGGGAGAGUUCGAACAUAUAGAUUUUAAACCAUUUAUUAUUUGAAAACUGACAUCAUACGCUCCAGAAAUUGCAAAAAGAAGAAAGAAAAAAAGACAACAUUGAAAUCGUAAACUCCUUUAGCAACAAAAGGGGGAAAUAAAAGAAGUUGGGAAGAAAUACAUGCAAUAAGUUUAAUUUUAUUCAACCAACAUAUUCGGGAGGAGGAUAUAACAAGGAAUGACAGACUCGUCAUCAAGCAUCACUGUCCCCAUCACCAUCACCAUCCUCCUUCCCGAAAUGCAACGGUUCCCGAAUCCCCAAACUUCUCUUCAACCUCUUCUCAAACGCCUCCACCUCCUCCUGUCUCUUACCCGCCGCAUCCAUGCUGUCAACCCCAUCAAGGGUCCCUUCACUAAAUCCAUACACCUCCCGUACCAGCCC